GCACAUCUGCUGCUCGUAGAAUACACACACACCACGCCAAUCACCCAGCCCAAGGAGAGCGACGACCAAGUCGGCAGCAAUGGCGGACCUCGCGGUGGGCUUGGCCAAAUCGGUGGUGGAGGGGGCGUUGACCAAGGCCCAGUCGGCCAUCGAGGAGGACUCCAAGCUGCGGCAGAGCGCGCAGCGCGACCUCGUGUUCAUCACUGGUGAGUUCCAGAUGAUGCAGUCCUUCUUGAAGCUCGCCGACGACGAGCGCACCAGGAACAUCGUGGUGAGGACCUGGGUGCGGCAGAUCCGGGAGCUCGCCUACGACGUGGAGGACUGCAUCGAGUUCGUCCUCCACCUCGACAAGAAGUCCCAGUGGUGGCGCCGCCUGCUCCCGGCCUUCGUGUCGGCCGCCAGGCAGCCGCUCGACGAGGCCAUCGCCGAGAUACGGCAGCUCAAGAUCCGGGUGGAGGAUGUGAGCUCCAGGAACGCGCGCUACAGCCUCAUCAGCGACUCCGGCUCCAAGCCCGUCGUCGUGCAUCAGCAGCCGCCGGCAGCGGCCCGCGCCGCGAUGGGCGCCACGGCGUUCCACAUGCUCGUCGAGGCGACGGACAUCGCGAAACGGCAAUAUGGGGAUCUCACCCAGCUAAUCACCAAGAAAGACAACGGUUUUCAGGUGAUCUCGGUGUGGGGGACUGGCGGCGAUCUUGGGACGCUAUCCAUCAUCAGGAAGGCGUUCGAUGAUCCAGAAAUUUGCCAAAACUUCACCUGCCGUGCCUGGAUCAAACUCGUCCACCCUUUCAACCCCCACGAGUUCAUCCGGAGCUUGAGGGUUCAGUUCUAUGCAAACUCUUGCAAAGAACCGGGGUCAAUCAUCGGUGUAGGGGUCCUAAAGAUGAUGGAGGCCACUCAAGACGAUCUGGAGACAUUCAUGGAGGAACUCAACAGCAAGAAGUACAUCAUCGUCUUAGAAGAUGUGUCCACCAUUGUAGACUGGGAUGCUGUCAGAAUGUUUAUUCCCAGCAGUAAGAACGGCAGCUGUAUCAUUGUGUCGACUCAGCAAUCCGAAAUAGCAAGCGUCUGUGUGGGGCACUCAUACCAAGUAUUGGAGCUGAAGCAGUUCUCCACGGAGCACUCGGUUUAUGCCUUCACAGAGGGGUCUCAAGGUGAUGGAGUUAAAGCUGAGGAGAUAUCAGCAGAGCAUGAAGCGAGACCUGAUACAAUUCACACCUCUAGAAUUGAUGCAGCCCUUGCUUGGAUGAAAAAGUACCCCAUCACUGGACCUGGUGUUGGGAAAUCAACUCUUGUCAGAAACUUGUUCUGCAACAGAAUCCUUAAGACAACCCUAUUUGAAAAGUAUGGUUGGGUGGAUGUAUCACAUCCGUUCAAUUUAAGGGACUUCUCCCGGAGCUUACUGUUGGAUUUUUAUUCUGAAUCAUUUCAAGCCAAGGAGGCUGCUUCCAAUGACACGAUAAGAAGCAAAAACCCCAUUCAAGAGUGUCGUGAUCUUCUGGAACAACAUCACUGCCUCGUAGUUAUUGAUGAUCUGCAGUCCAAGGAAGAAUGGGACUUGAUAAAAGCUGCCUUAUUGUCGAGAUCUUCACAAAGUGUUAUUAUUGCCAUUACAACUGAAGCAAGCAUUGCCACAUGUUGUGUGGAUAAGGAAGACCUGGUCUUUAAUGUCAAAGGUCUUCAAGCCGAUGCAGCCGUUGAUCUCUUCCACCAGGAGGCGAAUAGGAAGAAUUCAUCGUCCACUUUGAAGGAUCUCAAAGAAGAACCAAAGCUACUUGAACUUAUUCUCAAGUGUGGCGGGCUUCCCAAAGUACUAGUUGCAAUAGCCGGUGUAUUGGCCAAGAAGACAGUCACACUAAUGGACACUGUAGGUUUGACCAAUGACAGAUUCAUGCACACACUGGAGACCAACCCAGAGUACGACAGUCUACGUGGUCUAUUCGGAUGGAUGUAUUCGUACUUCCGUAGUUGCCCGGAUUCCCUUAAGCCGUGCAUCUUCUACAUGUCACUUUUCCCUCGAGGUCAAAGCGUCCGGCGAAGGCGUGUGGUGAGACGGUGGGUCGCGGAGGGCUACACAAGGGACAGUGAAGACAAAUCAGCAGAGCAAAAUGGGGAGAUGUUCUUCUCCAAGCUCCUCGAUCUGAGCAUAAUCCAACAGCCACCACAGUCGGUCACCACUGCGUUGGGUGACACAAGGAUGAUCUCCUGCCGUGUCAAUGGCUUCAUACGUGAGUACAUUGUAUCACGGCGGAUGGAGGAGAACCUUGUCUUUGAGCUGGAGGGCUGCUGCGACGUGACCACGCAACGCACAGGGCGUCACCUCAUCAUAAGGGAGAGCUGGGACAGGGACAAGAUCGUGUUUGAGAGCAUGGACUUCUCGAGGCUACGGUCGCUGACGGUGUUUGGGAAGUGGAAAGAAUUCUUUGUUUCCAAAAGCAUGAAGCUGCUCAGGGUGCUUGAUCUAGAGGAUGCAUUGGGUGUAGAGGAUGCUGAUCUCGAGCGGAUGCUGAAGCUGCUGCGUCGUCUCAAGUUCCUCUCGUUGCGAGGAUGCCAUGAGAUCCACCAUUUGCCAAGUUGUUUAGGAGACCUGAGGCAGCUCCAGACCCUGGAUGUCAAACGCACCUCCAUUGUAAAACUGCCAAAGAAAAUCAGUAAGCUAGAGAAGCUGCAGUACAUUCGUACCGGCACCUCCCUCCUAGCAGAGCAACAAUCAACACCAUGCCUUUCAGUAUCCGAACUCUGUGGACGUCGUCCCCUAGUUGGUGUUAUGGUACCUAGAGGGAUUGAUAAACUGACGGCCUUGCAUACGCUCGGAGUUAUCAACAUUGGCUCAUCAGGUGGGAAGGCCAUCCUCAAAGAGCUCAAGGAUCUCACCCAAUUGCGCAAGCUCGGAGUGUCUGGCAUCAACAAGAAAAACAUUGAGAAGUUCUCAUCUGCAAUCUCAGGUCAUGUUCAUCUGGAAUCCUUGUCGGUGCACGUGGACAAGGACAGUCAAGGUUGUUUGGCUGGCAUAUCCCUACCUUUGCAGGCAUUGCAGAGUCUCAAACUGCAUGGGCCUGUCGAGAAGCUGCCAGGUUUAGAGAUCGACCAGCUUAGCAAGCUGAGAAAGUUGGAUCUGGAGAUGAACAUGUUGACAAAGGAUGACAUAAAGCUCACUGGGAGUCUACCCAAACUAUGUGCUCUUCGUAUCAAGCUGCUCCAAGAUAGUAAGCUCCACUUUUGUGUCAAAGAGAAUGGGCUUGAGUUGCACACUUAUCGAGAGGCCAAGGUCCUCGAGAUUGCUUGCGGCUCCAGCUUAGAUGUUACUUUUGGAACAAACACAAUGACUAGUCUUGAGCUGCUGAAGGCUUACUGCUCCGAAGGAUCUUCAGUGAAGUUUUCCGGCCUGAAGAAUCUAGUUGGACUCAAGGAAGUCCUGAUUAAGGGCUGCUGUGACGACAUGCUGAAGGAAGACCUGCAGAGCCAACUCAACGAUCAUUCAGAGAAACCGGUUUUGAAGCUGGAGGAAUAGCCACGUUUGCCCUGAUGGAUACUGAAUGAAUGGUCAUGUCCCUGUUCAUUUGUCUUACUCUUUUUCCCGCAUACUACUCGAUCCUGUUGUUUUUCUGCGAAGUUCAAUAUACAGAUGUGUAACUGUCCUGUGCUGUAACAUGCCAAUGAACGCUGAAACUUAUAGCUGAUAAUCUGUUGGCGAAGUAGUUUUUUUUAUAACCUGUUGUUUUCAUUUCCCUUCUUUUAGAGUAAUACCUUGUACCGUAGAAAAAUAUCAGUUUUUUUUUGCUCGAUCCUUGUAUUUAUUUUAGUUGGUGUUUUUCUUUAUUAAGAAGAAAAGAAAAAAGAAUGACUGAUUUGGAUAAAGUUU
rnacentral:rRNA from 1 species